rnacentral:rRNA from 1 species
UACGAAGGGGGCUAGCGUUGUUCGGAAUCACUGGGCGUAAAGGGCGCGUAGGCGGCGCGACAAGUCAGGUGUGAAAGCCCCGGGCUCAACCCGGGAAUUGCACUUGAUACUGUCGUGCUUGAGGCCGGGAGAGGAUGGCGGAAUUCCCAGUGUAGAGGUGAAAUUCGUAGAUAUUCGCAAGAACACCAGUGGCGAAGGCGGCUCACUGGCCCGGUACUGACGCUGAGGUGCGAAAGCGUGGGGAGCAAACAGG